UCUCGGAUAGGGAGCGCGAGCGUGAAGAAACCGGCCGCCAUCUUACGGUGCCCACAACAGCCGCCGCAGCGAUCAUGGCAACUUCUUGCAAUUACGGUCGUACCAACCGUACUGGCAAGGUUACAGGGCCUAAACUUAUACAAGUUUCGUCAUGAGGGCUGCCCAGUGAAUAAUCUGUGCAGUGUGAUACGGCUGGGUGUACAGGUUACUUCACAGCUGCCUCGACAUACUCAAGAAAUGGGUGCAGAACCUGCGUAAUGCCUGCAAACUUUGACUACCACAGCAUCUCCAGAAAGUAAAGGGAUAUGUGUACAUGGGAUUUUUAAAGGCAUUCACAGUAUAUAAUACCUUGUAUGAACUGUUGUAGAUCUAAGCAGCUUCUACAGUACACUCUCAGAAAUUAAAACUUGUCAGGGAACUGUGAUAAUUGUUUCAGUUAAUAGGCAUGCACAUAUACGCUAUAAGAAGACAAUUAUUUAUUGAGAAUGCACUUCUCUGGCUACUCAUGUUGUUUACAUCUACUGUUGAUCACAUUCAUUUA